rnacentral:lncRNA from 1 species
AUCUAGAGAACAGAGGUAAUAGCCAUUGUUCUGGAGUAUCAUUUCAAGGGAGUUUGUACACCAAAAGACAUGGAAGCUUCUAGAAAAGAAGUCUAGGCUAUCCACUUGGAGAAAGUGGCCAUGUGAAUAAAAGGACCCCAGCAGCAGCCCAGCACCAUGGUUCCUGACAUGUGAGUAAGGUCACCUUUGAUCCUCUACCCCAACUAUCACCUGAAUGAGUGAAUGCAGCCAAGAUCACAGAGCACAGAUGAGCCAUCCCUGACAAGCCUUGCUCUCAUUCUUGGAAAACAGAAUCAUGACUAAU